AUAUAAGAAGUGUAAGGUGCAUGAAUAAAUGAGAACGAUCGUACUCAUAUUGAGACUCCAUCGUUACUCCGGGUCCGCCUCCCACUCCGACAUCUGGUAGCAGAGGAUGGUCACAGGACACCUUUAACUUCUCCGAGACUGCGGUAAGCAGCUAGAGGAGGGGAGUGGGAAACUGGGGCUAAGGGAAGCGCUGCCUGUGCAUAGUCAAGGUAGACAGGUGGUGUGAGGUCGCUACUCGCCCCUUAGGGAUAAUUAUGGAAACAGAAGCUGCGGCCACGCUACUUGUGGGAAUCCUCUCUAAGAGAGGGCAUGAACUGCCCGCAAAACUGCUGAUAGAACUUCUACAUUUAGGUAGAAAAUGGGGACACUUUACUGAUCUGCACAUGAUGUUUUUUGUUACGGAGUGGUGAGAUUAUGGAGAAACGUUGUGGCAAAAGACUAUAUCAGGAACAGACAAGGAUGAAAAGGAAGUUAAAGCUGUUCGGAGGGACUGCACGAUCACGAAAAAGGGCAAAGAGCCUCUUGGGGGCUGUGGGGAAACUUGGCGAACUGUUGUUAAUACUUUACAAGCGCUGAAGGCCGAGUCAAAAGUUGCCGCUUUCGCUGUGUGCGCCAUAGCCUGCCCCAAUCCCCCGGCUGAAACUCAUCCUAUCACGACGAGUCGUAUGAGCGCUUUCUUUGGGGUGAGCCAGAAUUGCCCAAUGAAAGGAAUGACUGGGAAAGUUUGUACCAGCGCCUGCGAGCUCUUAAAUCCGGCUGUAAAAAGGGGGAAUGCGUCUGAGGACAUAGACAGCCCCAGUGCGCCGGAGGCACCCAUCAGAGGGCGGAAGUGCACUGACACAGGAACCGGAAGUGCCCACAGUAGCCGGCUGCGCUGAUAAAGUGCGGGGCGGCCCGAGCCGUCGGGCUAGCGAGGAAUCAGAGGAGGAAGAAAAUGCUACGAAAAUGCUGUAGCAACCAAGGACUGUUACCUGUUAAACAAUUGAUACAAACCUUAUCUUAUAAUAUAAGUGCAUAUUCUUGGCAGUCCUUACCUCUCUCUAGGGGAGUAACAAUUUAUGAAGAACACUCUGCAUUCCAGUGUCCCUUAUAAGAACCGUUUGAUGAACUGGCACUGCAGACAUUGAGAGAUAUGCUGAGAGAUAAAGGACUUGUUGUUGCACCUGAAAAAGUACAAAGAAGGUGGUCCUAGGUGGUUACCAGCAAAAAGUAUUCGACCCUACCUACAGACGUCAUCAGAACGUGAUCAACGGCCUACACAAGAAGAUCCUGCACAGGAAUGAAUGAAGAAAGCUGUAAUUGUGGGAAUUGUGAUCCCUGGGUGUUGCAUAAUUGUGGUGACUGUGAUAAUAAUCAGUGGCCCUGUAAUACGGACUAUUAAGGAUCAAAAUAAUGGUCUCUUGGGAGCACGGCGACUGGGAGUGCGGCGAAGAGGAGCGAUGCAAAGAGGAGCGAGGCAAAGAGGUGCGGGGCACGUUAUUACAAAGGGGCAGUUUGAGCGGCAGUUCAAGCGGACAGGGCGAGCAGGAAGGGCUCAGGGAGAGGCUGGUGGUGGAUCAGACGGGGCAGCGGACCAUGGUGGCUACCAGGCAGAAAAUUAAAACUGUUCUGGGAGCAGCAGCGAACAGGAUGGAUGUUGCCACCCAGACAGAGCCUCAGUGGGUCCAUGCAGCUACGCAGACCCUGGGCUGUAGGCAGUGCCCCCCUCCCACACCAGCCUGUGCCUCUGGUACCGGCUACACUUGUGGGAGCUGUGCGCGAGUCGGAGAACUCCUUCACAUGGUGGCAGAGCUGAGGGAGGAGGUGAACAGAUUAAGGACUAUCAGGGAAUGUGAGAGGGACAUAGAUCUUUGGAGCAGUGCCCUCACACAAACCCAGCAGGCUGCUGGAGCCAGUGCAGCGGAGCAGCUCGAUCCUACAAUCUGUGAGGCAGGGAGAACAAGAGAUGGGGGAUGGCAGCAAGUUCCUGUCCGGCGCAGGAAACCUGCUCCCCCCACCCGGACAACUAACCCCCAGAUAGCCCUCAGAAAUCAAUAUGAAGCGCUGCAGGAGGAACCUAUCCCCCAGGAAGAAGAAGAUGGUCCCCACAGCCUAGAUUUCUCGUGUGUGUACCUUGUGCGGUCUUUCCCUGAUGACAGAAGGGUUACCACAUGUGAUAGUUGAUCUUAGCCAGGUGCCAGGCGGCCAGAGAAAGGGAGAGCCAGUGAUGAAGCAGCUGAUUUCAGCAGCAUCUUUUGAAGCAAGAAGGGAGGUGGUCCAGGGCAUGGGAAAGGAGGCAGGAAGGAAGGGAUGUUGAGACCACCAAGAGAGAAGAUGAGGAGAUGCUAACUGUCUAAGUGUAAACACUGCCCAGGUAAAUUUGAGAGUAAAUUUGUCCCUGUUACAGAGGGGAGAUGGAGAAAAGGGGUAGCAUUCCCCAACAAAGUGUUGUCCAACCACACACUGACAGAGACACAGGAUUUUUUUCAAACAAAUCUAUUUCUACGUUCUUAGAGGGUAAACUCUUCCUGCGCCUCCUCACAGGAGGAGCAUCACAACUGUGAGCAGGUGCAGUGGAUAAGCAGGGGCCCGGCUUCUCUGCAGUUCACAACGGGGUGGAGGAGGAAGCAGACCACGUUCUCUGGCAAGCGCUCCACCCAGGCGCAGGACAGUGUUGCUGGCGUCUUCCCCACAGUGCCCGGCUCUGAUGGAACAGCAUUCCAGCGGAGAGUCUGAGGGACAGAAGCAGGCGGUCAAUGAUGUUGAGCUUGUGGGUGCUGAGGGCUUCAUAGGCGCUGGCUUGGUGCCGUGCCUGGAAGCAGCUCAGUCAGAAAGUUGUUCUUGGGAAGGGAUUGGCCAAUGCAGUGGAGGUAACCACCUAACCCAGAGAGACAUCUGGCUUGUCUUGUCAGAAAUCCUGCUUCUCCUCUCCCUCCUCGUGCACACUGCUUGAGGUUCUUUUUUGGCUGCCGCUGUUGGAGUCAGCACUCUGCUGCCUGCGCAGCCAAUAGAGCCCAAAGAGCAUCAGAAGGGUAUCAGCCAAUACCCAAAACCACCAGUUGCGGAAGGCAGCAAGGAGCAUGUUUUCCUGGCUGAGCCCAUGAGGCUCCUGACUCAUCUUCUCCAUUUCCUCCAUUAGCCAAGUCAUCUCCUCAAGCUGCUCUUCCUCACGCUGCUUCAGGACAUCUUGCGUAGUAGCUACAUUGCUCCAUUCCUCCACCUUCGCUGUGCACUGCACAAGGCUCAGGACGGUCAGGAUGUGGGUAAUGCCCAUACCCAUGGCCUGGAGGAGAAGGGAGAGAAGGAGCUCAGCAGGGCUGGGAGGGGCAGGAGAUGCAGGGGCCCAGGGCUUGGUUGUGGAGGGGGUGAGGGAGCUGGGAGGCAUUAAGG